rnacentral:lncRNA from 1 species
CUUGACCUAGUGAUGUAUGUUUUGUACAUGAUCUGUAUAUGUAUAUAUGUUUUCCUGUAUGUGAAAAUCAGGCUUAACAGGUAUGAGUUAACCCAUCUAGAGCAAGCUCUAGUCAGGGAUACAGAGUACAGAGUACAGAGAUAGUGCAUGCACAGGUUAAGCCUUGGUUCAGAAAAGAGUUUUAUUUUCACAGAAAAUGUAUGAUCAUGUAUGAGGUUUACAGGUACACAGAGAG